ensembl:lncRNA
UCUCGGUCUGCAAACAUGACCUUUGAACUAAUUUUGCCCAAUUAUAUAAACUAGCAGUGAGAUGCCUCACUGUAUCCUGAGCUCUCGCCUGAUUCAGUCUGAUCAUGCACACAGUCCCUCUUCUCUGCCUGACUGCUCUAAGCACCUCUGCACUGAUAACUUGUCUUCCUAUACAAAAGGAAACAAUCCAAACAGAUUUAACAAGAGAAAAUCUGAGAAAUAUGGAGACCAUGAUCAGUACAUAUGGAUAUUUCCUGAUGAUGAAAUUUAGUAAAAGAAUGAGGAAAGCCAUUUAUCAAGAGUCCAAAGGAGCUGCUUUACUGAAGAAAAGAAGCAAGGACUGCUUCUUACUACUUCAUAUUAAAACAAAUAAUAUAAUGUGCUUGGAUGCAACUAAAAACACAUAUAUUUCAGUUGAUGGCAUUAAUAAGGACUGCUUUAAACCAGUUCACGGAAAGAAUUCCCAUCAUGCUUUGUGUCCAUGGAGGAGUGAUGCAAUGAUCAAGCUAGUUGGUGGUAAAAGCCACACUGAGGCUUAUAAUGCAGAAUUACAUCAUUCUCAGCAGUCAAACAACCAUAAAACACAUCGCAGACAGAGAAGAAGCCAGUAUAUUGACCCAUCUGAUCCCUUGGGAUCUGAGAAUCCGAGGUCAAGGACUGCUAAUUAUCGAAGUCCAAAUCGAGAGCAUGAGCACGAGCGCAGCAGUAAUGUUUCUAAAGAAACCAUCACUUCCUAUGAUGACCCUUUACACGUACUGCUCUCCAAGAGCCCUGUCAGUCCAAACUUACAAAAACAGAAGAAACACAAGCAAGUUGCACCAUCUGAUCCAUUCUGAACAAAUUACUGACCUCAUUAACGAUUUUAUAAGCCUUGCACCAAAGAAAACCAUCUGUGAACCACCCAGGAGGAUUUUUUUUGUUUUUUUUUUGAUGAUGAUUCCUAAAACCAAUACACUGACCUAAAGAACUUAUAAUGUAACGUUAAGAAACCCAAUGGUUUCGAGGAACCAUAUCACCAAGAACCGCAUAUGAUGCAAUCUAGGGCCUCAGGACCUCAGCUGGUGUUGAGGCUAGUUUAGGUCACUGUUUGUCAGUCCUUUCACCUUUUCAAGUCAGUUAAAAUUUAAACUACCUUGCAAUGCUGCGGCAAUGACAUUGUCUUCAUAAGAACUGUGCGAGAAUCUUUUCAAUCGACUGAUGUAUAUAAUAUCAUGAAAUACUAAAUAGAAAUGUCAUAGUUUCUAACACGUAUGAGAUGGUGCUGGCCACCUCUACUGAAUUAUUUAUUAAAAAGUACUGAUAUAUUUUUAUUUAUUAUAUUUUAUAUUGAUGUCUUUAAUUAAAAUAUUACCUCAAAAAAUGUAUCAAAUGCAAACUUUUAAUUUUUUUUUUGUUCUAUUACUGUAGGUAUUCAUUUCUAGAAUUCUUAGGAGAGUAAUUACCUGUAUUUAUACUGUGUAAAAUGAUGUAUAAUGCAUAAUGUAAUAUAUGAAAAAUUUAUAAAAGUUAUAAUGAAUGCAUUCAAACAAUAAAAGGAUUGUAAAAUA